ensembl:misc_RNA
CAGACAUCGUCACCCCUUUUCCCCAACACACCUUCUCAAGUGUCAACACUGGAGAUACAAGCCUCCCUGAAGGAAGGUUCACAACCGUAGAAAGUUGAAAAGAGAAGCUUCUUUAAAUGCCAGUUUAUCAAGAUAAAUGAAAGCAUAUGAAAUUGGGCUUAAGAUCUUAUGACAUGUCUCUGAUGGGC